UACGUAGGGUGCAAGCGUUAUCCGGAAUUAUUGGGCGUAAAGAGCUCGUAGGCGGUUUGUCGCGUCUGCUGUGAAAACCCGAGGCUCAACCUCGGGCCUGCAGUGGGUACGGGCAGACUAGAGUGCGGUAGGGGAGAUUGGAAUUCCUGGUGUAGCGGUGGAAUGCGCAGAUAUCAGGAGGAACACCGAUGGCGAAGGCAGAUCUCUGGGCCGUUAACUGACGCUGAGGAGCGAAAGCUGGGGAGCGAACAGG
rnacentral:rRNA from 1 species